rnacentral:tRNA from 1 species
UACCCGGUGGUGUAAUUGGUAACACAUGAGUUUUUGGUACUCACGUUUCAGGUUCAAGUCCUGGCCGGGUAA